rnacentral:rRNA from 1 species
UACGUAGGGUGCAAGCGUUAAUCGGAAUUACUGGGCGUAAAGCGUGCGCAGGCGGUUCGGAAAGAAAGAUGUGAAAUCCCAGGGCUUAACCUUGGAACUGCAUUUUUAACUACCGGGCUAGAGUGUGUCAGAGGGGGGUGGAAUUCCACGUGUAGCAGUGAAAUGCGUAGAUAUGUGGAGGAACACCGAUGGCGAAGGCAGCCCCCUGGGAUAACACUGACGCUCAUGCACGAAAGCAUGGGGAGCAAAAGGG